GUCAGGAUGGCCGAGCGGUCUAAGGCACCAGACUCAAGUUCUGGUCUCCAAAUGGAGGUGUGGGUUCACAUCUCACACCUGACA
rnacentral:tRNA from 1 species